UCGAUCAGUUUACCUGUUUUUACUAUUGGUAACAAUACGUUCUCGGUUAAGGAAUGUUGAUGUAUUAUUUAAGAAAUUAUUUAGUGGAUCAGAAUCUUUACCCAUACGUCAUUAACUUCAAUUAGCGUUUUUAUCCGAAGCAAAGAUAGUCUAAAAACCUGUUCAACCUUACUUAGAGUGAAUAAGUUUCUACCAGGAAAAAGAAUGAAGCCAACGACAACUGAGAAGAACUGGAAGUGCGACAACUGUUCAAAAAUAUUUGUAUGCAAGCAGUAUCUCGACCGUCAUGUCAUCACUCAUGAGACCAACUCGCAAGUUAAAUGUGAGAGAACUCACAUGAAGAAGGCUGAACGACCCGUGUUUCCUUGCCACUUGUGUCCCCUGACUUUCUACUCAGAACGAGGGAUUUUCUUCCAAGUGAAGAAUUUCCACGAGCAGAAAAAAUAUUUCUGUACGAUUUGUGGCAAAAACCUAAGGAGUGCUCACGGGUUGAGGUAUCACAUCAGAGUCAACCAUGCCACAAAUGAGGCGCCGACUUACUUCUGCCAGUAUUGCGAAUAUCAAAACAGAAUCAAGGAAAACUUGACAAGCCAGGUGGCACGGUGCACGUGGGUGUGAAGAGGAGGGAAUGCUAUUUUUGUGAGAAGAAGUUUUACAAUUUUGCCCUAUCAGCCAGUCACUGUAGUCGGAUUCACACUCUUGAAAAAUAGAUAAU